AAACCAGCACCUCAAGUGGUCAGGAUGAUUAUUGGGCCUAAAGCAUCCGUAGCCUGCUUUGUCAGUUUUCGGUUAAAUCUGUACGCUCAACGUACAGGCUGCCGGAAAUACUGCAGGGCUAGGGAGUGGGAGAGGUAGACGGUACUCGGGAGGAAGGGGUAAAAUCCUUUGAUCUCUCGAUGACCACCUGUGGCGAAGGCGGUCUACCAGAACACGUCCGACGGUGAGGGAUGAAAGCUGGGGGAGCAAACCGGAUUAGAAACCCCAGUAGUCC
rnacentral:rRNA from 1 species